GAGAUGUUCUGGUACAGAUAUCUGAGACGCAGAGAAGACUCACAGCUGAGAUGGAGGGAGUGUUUCGAUGGUUCCAGGUAGAAGUUUUACAGGCCAUGGAGAAGAAUGUCAAGUUGGAUGAAGAGUACAUUGAUGGCAGUCGCAGGGUGUAUGAGCUGGAGGUGAGGAAUCAGGCAGAAGCUCUGGAGAGACAGCUGAGAAGAGGAGCCUUCAGAGACUCACUGGAGCACAGUGAGUACAUGCAGUACCUGAGACAGAGUCAACAUGACAUUAUGAAGGAGGAGGAGAGGAGGUAUCGCUUCCUGGCAGAGAAACACUGCGGACUGACACAGUCACUGCUCUUCCUCAUCAACAAGACAGGGGCUUCCCUACAGCAGAAGGCUGAUGGAUGGAAGGAGAAAGUGAACGAGACACGAGGCUCCAGACCCCGUAGCCCCACCCACCCUGACCAG
rnacentral:lncRNA from 8 species